rnacentral:rRNA from 1 species
UCACGAAAGUGGAUUGCACUAGAAGUCUGCACGCUGACCCGCAAGGGAGGCAGCGACCCAAGGUAUGAUUCAUGAUUGGGGUG